rnacentral:rRNA from 1 species
GUGUCAGUCGCCGCGGUAAUACGUAGGGUGCGAGCGUUAAUCGGAAUUACUGGGCGUAAAGCGUGCGCAGGCGGUUAUGUAAGACAGUUGUGAAAUCCCCGGGCUCAACCUGGGAAUUGCAUCUGUGACUGCAUAGCUAGAGUACGGUAGAGGGGGAUGGAAUUCCGCGUGUAGCAGUGAAAUGCGUAGAUAUGCGGAGGAACACCGAUGGCGAAGGCAAUCCCCUGGACCUGUACUGACGCUCAUGCACGAAAGCGUGGGAGCAAACAGGAUUAGAUACCCUGGUAGUCCACGCCCUAAACGAUGUCAACUGGUUGUUGGGUGCAUUAGUACUCAGUAACGAAGCUAACGCGUGAAGUUGACCG